rnacentral:rRNA from 1 species
CGAAGCAUGAGCUGUGAUGGGGAAGGAAAUUAAGUACGGAAGUUCCUGAUUUCACGCUGUCAAGAAAAGCCUCUAGGAAGAGUAGUACUGCCCGUACCGCAAACCGACACAGGUAGAUGAGGAGAGAAUCCUAAGGUGAGCGAGAGAACUCUCGUUAAGGAACUCGGCAAAAUGACCCCGUAACUUCGGGAGAAGGGGUGCUCUAUUAGGGUGCAAGCCCGAGAGAGCCGCAGUGAAUAGG